ensembl:lncRNA
AAAAGUGAGGCACAUUUUACAAGAACAUAACUCCAUUAAAACGGAGUGACAACUAUGCAAAGGUUUCUAUAGCAGCUAGGUGAGUGUGUUUUCCAGUCUGUCUGAACUGGCAGCUCCCUAUCUAUACUGGUACUUUGCUGUGCCAAUUUGCUGUAAACGUCUAUUUCAUGCAUUUGCCACGCAGUGACUGUGCUAGAAAGGUGAAAUAAAUGGUGAAGAAACCUAGGAUUUUAUGGUACAAAGAACCUGAUAGCAGGAUGGUCUGACCCAUAGCUGUUGUCUAAAAACUUCUGAUACUGCUAUAGUCUCUACAUAGGCUUAAGAGUGAGAAUAUAUGAGUGAGAGUACUAUCAAGCCAGCGCAAGAUACUAACAAAUGUAUAAAUUGAAAAGUACCAAUACUUUUUGCACAUAGAUCAAAAUAGAGUGGAGAAUUUUGGCUCCAAAAAUCAGGUUAGUAGGCUCAUUUCCAUGUGCUUAAAAAUGUUUUCGUUGUUGUUAUUCAUUGAUUAAGGGCUAGAGCAAGAAUGAAAUUAAAUGUCUUUUUCCUCCAAAUAAUUGUGUUCAUGCCAGCUACAUUUCUGUUACUCUUAUUGGCCAAGUAAAUGUGUUAUAUUAAACCAGGUAAGUAGUUUAAACAGAGGAAAUUUUACUUGCAAAUGUCCCUACAAAUUGGCCCAUUUUAGUGGGUGGGAGAACAAAAAGGGAUUACCUAACUUUAAAUACAAACUAAGUAAUUGAAAUAACCUGCUAGUUGAGAGGGAAAAAAGUCCAAUUUCUCAAUAUUUUCUUAAUCUGAAAUCACACUAGUAGUAAUAUGGUGAUUUUUAUUAUUAGGAGUGUUCUCCCUCUAGAGUGGCAUUCCAUGGCAUUAAUAGAAAACCCUUCUUUCCCACCCCUCCCCAUCUUCAAAUUUUCUUUUUUAGGAUGUUGGUUCCUGCACACAAGAACUGACCCUAUCACCUCUGCUCACAGUGGUAAAUAUAUCGUACAUCUCUUGAAAGGGAAAUAUCUGACAUGGAUAUUUCCUUCACAGCAGAAGAAUGGCUGCUUUUGAAUGGGGAGGAAAGAAGACAUUUUUCUUAAUAUCCUUUUUGUCCCAUCUCUAAAAUGUAUAAAUAUCUUGAUUUAGUUUUACGUUAAUUUCUCAUUGAGACUUGCAACUCUUUUGGGGUUGCUCUCUAAAAUAUUACUUCCAUUUCAAAAACCAUCUGAUUUAAUAUAAACUGCUAACUUUGAAAGAAGAGGUGAAUUUGCAUUUACACUUUAGACACUUUCUAAAAACAGGGUGAACUUAAUGGAAAUUUUUCAGUGUUGUUAAGCUCUUGUUAUAGUAGCUGCCCUAUAGUUGCAAAAACAAAAACUAUAAAACCCCGUCCCUUGUCCCCUUAAUCCAGGUAGCCUGGAUUUAAUGAAACGAAUAUGUGUGCGUGCGUGUUGUGUGUCUGUGUGGAAGAGAGAGUACUCGAUUCCUAAAAAGCCCUGGAAACAGCUGUGCUGGGUUCUUGUCAAUUUUAGUAAAAGUCUCGUACACGUGUGAAAUACCCUCUCUGAAUUCAAGGUUUGGUUAAUACUGGUAUAUUUUUAUAAGAUUGAAAUUGUGUCCCCCAUCUUUAACUUAAACAUUUUCAUUAUCAGGGUCAAUGUGCUAAAACCGAAUCGUAACAUUUUUAGGCACAAAUGGAAAAAAUGUUAUUGGCUCCUUGAGAAUGUGUGUGUGUGGCGAGGGGAACAGAUCCACAGAAGCAUGUGUGUACUUACAAACCAAGCUGUAGAGAUCAAGAGAAGAACUACAGUGUUGAUCUCAACGUUUCUAAAUUGUCAAGAUUUACAUGGCAUUGUGGUGAACUAGUUAACGCUUAGAGCUUUUGGUAUGUAAUAACUAUUUGCUAUGGACUGACUAAAUGUUUCAAAGGAUUGUGUUCUUAAAUUUUGGGGGGUUUUGUUUUUGUUUUUUUUUUAACUGCCUCUCAGAUUAUAUUUAGUAGUUUAAAUUUCUUUGCUUUAUUAUUUCAUUAAAGCAUAAAAAACUUCAGGUCUCUGAUAUUUAUUUUCACUUGUUCUACUAAUUAUUUACAAAACACUCUUUGUUAACUUUUAUUUUAUAAAUGUGUAGUAUAUUAAACGUCUUUAAAAUUUUGUUCAACUGAAACCACAUUAACUUUGAUUUGCUUUCCUGGGAUUUUUUUUUAAUACAACACCUUUUCCAUGUCAGUGCGUAGCACUUACCCAAUCGUUUGUACUCCCUUUCAACCCAAUAAACAGAAUGAAUAACUAAU